rnacentral:rRNA from 1 species
CCAGACUCCUACGGGAGGCAGCGGUGAGGAAUAUUGGUCAAUGGCCGGGAGGCUGAACCAGCCAAGUCGCGUGAGGGAAGACGGCCCUACGGGUUGUAAACCUCUUUUGUCGGGGAGCAAAGCGAGUCACGUGUGACUCAUUGAGAGUACCCGGAGAAAAAGCAUCGGCUAACUCCGUGCCAGCAGCCGCGGUAAUACGGAGGAUGCGAGCGUUAUCCGGAUUUAUUGGGUUUAAAGGGUGCGUAGGCGGACGCUUAAGUCGGGGGUAAAAUUGCGGGGCUCAACCUCGUCGAGCCGUUGAAACUGGGUGCCUUGAGUGGGCGAGAAGUAUGCGGAAUGCGCGGUGUAGCGGUGAAAUGCUUAGAUAUCGCGCAGAACCCCGAUUGCGAAGGCAGCGUACCGGCGCCACACUGACGCUGAGGCACGAAAGCGUGGGUAUCGAACAGGAUUAGAUACCCGAGUAUA